CGCGCGCAUCUCGUUGUCCAAGCAAAUUUUCACAUAUUUCGCGACGACGUUAUAAAUUGUUGUUAAUUUCUGACGACUUUGAAAAUUCGUUUCGCGUAUUCGAUUUUUAAGAAGUCGUCAACUUUUUAAUGAAUAAAUUAACGGAAACACGCGUAUAGAACGGUGUUAACCUCGUGAGCUCGUGUAUAUGUAGUAGGUAAUCCUUGAGAACAGAUUACGAGAGGAAAAUGAACUUUUUUGUGCUGGAAGUACAUGGUCAAAGGUUGAAACUUGAAACAUACAAAUUUUUUCGUAACUGGAAUUCGCUCGAACCGCAAAUUUUUGGACUGAACAUCAUUGAAAUUGGAAGAAAAUUGAAUUUCCAGAUUUCCAGAUUAGUUUUCAGAUUUUUCUUUUGUCGAACGAUUUUGGAGCUUUAGGAACAUCGUGUGAGGAGAAGGUAUUUACUCAAUAUUAUCGUGCUGAAAAAAUUGAACUUCUGACUCUGACUCUCCUGUUGAACACUUAUCGACGAAGGAAAACUGUUCCAUUAAUACAAAAUAAAUAUUCCCAUGAUUAUACUAAUAUCACAAAUGAAUGAAAUUAGGUACCUAUUUAGAUAAGUAUAAUGUUGUGCAUCUUUUGUUCAGCUUUCAAAAAUUGCCUCAUUCGAUUUACAUAUUACAUAUUAUUAUAAGCUUAUAACAUAUUAUACUUAUACGACUGGCAUUCUGCUAAUAUAAUAAUUAUAGCAGUAUAUCUGAUACGUGUCUGGGUCUGCUGCCUCUCUAUAAGUUAAGUACCUACCCUAAACUAUAUCCUAUGUAG